UACGUAGGGGGCUAGCGUUAUCCGGAAUUACUGGGCGUAAAGCGCGCGUAGGCGGUCUGAUCAGCCGGUUGUGAAAGCCCCGGGCUCAACCUGGGAACGGCAUCCGGAACUGUCAGGCUAGAGUGCAGGAGAGGAAGGUAGAAUUCCCGGUGUAGCGGUGAAAUGCGUAGAGAUCGGGAGGAAUACCAGUGGCGAAGGCGGCCUUCUGGACUGACACUGACGCUGAGGUGCGAAAGCGUGGGUAGCAAACAGGAUUAGAUACCCGCGUAGUCCCU
rnacentral:rRNA from 1 species